GCAUCGAUGAAGAACGCAGCUAGCUCCGAGAAGUAAUGUGAAUUGCAGGACACAUUGAGCAUCGAUAAUCUGAACGCGUAUUGCGGCCUCGGGUAAUCCUGGGGCCACGUCCGUCUCAGGGUCUUUAACACACCGAUCCUUUCAACUUGUUGAAAGUGCCUGCGAUUCGUUUCUUUAUUAGAAGCGUAUCGUCAAAGACAGCUGGUCUGGCGAUUUCACAGCUGAAGCGUGAGCAGCCUGCUGGCCUCGGGUGAGGUAGCAACGACGGUAGGUGCUAAUGCUUUAAGUAAAGAAUUCAAAAGGCCGACGUACAAAGCGCAUGUAGUAAUACAUCAACUUUAACCUGAGAUCGGGCGGGACGACCCGCUGAACUUAAGCAUAUCAAUAAGCGGAGGA
rnacentral:rRNA from 1 species